AGAGGGAAACAGCCCAGAGCAUCGACUAAGGCCCCUAAGCGUACGCUAAGUGGGAAAGGAUGUGGAGUCGCACAGACAACCAGGAGGUUGGCUUAGAAGCAGCCACCCUUGAAAGAGUGCGUAAUAGCUCACUGGUCUAGUGAUUCCGCGCCGACAAUGUAGCGGGGCUCAAGCGUACCGCCGAAGUCGUGUCAUUGCAGCAAUACGGCCAACGCCGGCUGUGAUGGGUAGGGGAGCGUCGUGUGCCGGGUGAAGCAGCCGCGGAAGCGAGUUGUGGACGGUUCACGAGUGAGAAUGCAGGCAUGAGUAGCGAUACAAACGUGAGAAACGUUUGCGCCGAUUGACUAAGGGUUCCUGGGUCAAGCUGAUCUGCCCAGGGUAAGUCGGGACCUAAGGCGAGGCCGACAGGCGUAGUCGAUGGAUAACCGGUUGAUAUUCCGGUACCCGCUGUGAAGCGUCAAACAUCGAAUCCAGUGAUGCUAAGGCCGUGAAGCCGCCCCUGAUCUCUUCGGAGUGAGGGGGAGUGGUGGAGCCGCUGAACCAAGCUGGUAGUAGGUGAGUGAUGGGGUGACGCAGGAAGGUAGUCCAUCCCGGGCGGUGGUUGUCCCGGGGUAAGGGUGUAGGACGUCAGGUAGGUAAAUCCGCCUGGCAAUAGUCUGAGACCUGAUGCCGAGCCGAUUGUGGUGAAGUGGAUGAUCCUAUGCUGUCGAGAAAAGCCUCUAGCGAGUUUCAUGGCGGCCCGUACCCUAAACCGACUCAGGUGGUCAGGUAGAGAAUACCGAGGCGUUCGGGUGAACUAUGGUUAAGGAACUCGGCAAAAUGCCCCCGUAACUUCGGGAGAAGGGGGGCCAUUCUUGGUGAUCGGAUUUACUCCGUGAGCUGGGGGUGGCCGCAGAGACCAGCGAGAAGCGACUGUUUACUAAAAACACAGGUCCGUGCGAAGCCGUAAGGCGAUGUAUACGGACUGACGCCUGCCCGGUGCGGAACGUAAGGGGACCGGUAGU
rnacentral:rRNA from 1 species